UUAGAAUUUCUCUAAUAACACGGGAUCAUUAUGGUCGUAAAUACCCUGGCAAGCGCUUGUCAGAAUUUUCGGUUUCGUUUUCCGUCACCCCUUUUUGCAUUUUUAUUUAAUUGUAGAACAUGACAAGUGGUGUUUGGAACAUUUUCAACGUUAAAUAUAAAAAACCGAUAGCAUAAGCACAUUAGAAGGCCAGCCCAGCAGCCACCGGAGAAGGCCUUGCCCCACUGGCCGCACUUGCAUUUUAAAAAGAACGCAUACAAAAAUAGGAAAAUAUUAAUGGAAUAAAAAAUAAAAAUAAUAAUUGAA